rnacentral:pre_miRNA from 1 species
AACUCUAUAAAAUUCAUUAAUUUAGUCUCUCUGGUUAAGAUCUUAUGACUAAAUUCACAGAUUUCAUAUACUCUAGGGACUAAAUUGAUGGUUUAUUCAAAAAA